UGUAUUUUUUUUUAGAUCCUUGCAGCAGUGUGGGUGAUACAGCAACCACUGCAAACCUGGACCGGCUGUCACCACCCACCCUUGGAGGUGCCGACAUUUGCUCCCAGUCACCUGUGUUGGCUCCUGAUUCAUUGGGUUCAUCUGCAGCUACACCAAGA